GGGGAAUAUUGGACAAUGGGCGAAAGCCUGAUCCAGCCAUGCCGCGUGUGUGAAGAAGGCCUUUUGGUUGUAAAGCACUUUAAGCGAGGAGGAGGCUACUUGGAUUAAUACUCUAGGAUAGUGGACGUUACUCGCAGAAUAAGCACCGGCUAACUCUGUGCCAGCAGCCGCGGUAAUACAGAGGGUGCGAGCGUUAAUCGGAUUUACUGGGCGUAAAGCGUGCGUAGGCGGCUUUUUAAGUCGGAUGUGAAAUCCCUGAGCUUAACUUAGGAAUUGCAUUCGAUACUGGGAAGCUAGAGUAUGGGAGAGGAUGGUAGAAUUCCAGGUGUAGCGGUGAAAUGCGUAGAGAUCUGGAGGAAUACCGAUGGCGAAGGCAGCCAUCUGGCCUAAUACUGACGCUGAGGUACGAAAGCAUGGGGAGCAAACAGGAUUAGAUACCCUGGUAGUCCAUGCCGUAAACGAUGUCUACUAGCCGUUGGGGCCUUUGAGGCUUUAGUGGCGCAGCUAACGCGAUAAGUAGACCGCCUGGGGAGUACGGUCGCAAGACUAAAACUCAAAUGAAUUGACGGGGGCCCGCACAAGCGGUGGAGCAUGUGGUUUAA
rnacentral:rRNA from 1 species